rnacentral:lncRNA from 10 species
GAGUAUAAAACAAUAAAACAAUAUGAGAGGGUCUCUCUCUUCCCUCACCAGAGGGGGCCAAAGUUUUAUGAGACAUCUCCUCAUCUGUGCACAGAUGGGUGGCGGACUCUGGAGUCCAGGCUGUUGCUUCCCAUUCUAGUGGUGAAUCUUCCAUAGUCUGGUAUUGUUGUCUCUAACCCAGACCUGAUCACCUGGCUACAGCAAGGAAAAGAAACUUUGACCAUGAAGAGACAGGUGAUGAUUGCCAAACACACAGGUAUUGUUGUCUCCAAGCCAGACCUGAUCAUCUGUCUGGAGCAAGGAAAAAUCCUUUGAGUAUGAGGAGACAUGAGAUGAUUGCCAAACACCCAGGUGGGUGCAAGUGAAAGUGAAUACAACAGACGACACAGAUGGAGUUUCACUCUUGUUGCUUAGACUGGAGUGCAAUGGUGUGACCCCAGUUCACUGCAACCUCUGCCUCUCAGGUUCAAGCAAUUUUCCUGCCUCAGCCUCCCAAGUAGGUGGGAGUACAGGCGCCUGCAACCACACCCAGGUAAUUUUUUCUAUUUUAAGUAGAAAUGGGGUUUGACCAUGAUGGCCAGGCUGGUCUUGAAUUCCUGAUCUCAGGUGGUCUACCUGCCUCGGCAUCACAAAGUGCUGGUAUUACAGGCAUGAGCCACCACAUCCAGCCUUGUGUAUUUUGGAGAUAGUGUCUCACUCUGUCAACCAGGCUGAUUUGCUCGGUUCACUGCUGCCUGAAUCUCCCAAACUCAGAUGAUCCUCUCAUAUCAGCCUCUCAAGUAGCUGCAUUACAAGUAUGUAACAUCACACC